rnacentral:lncRNA from 1 species
GCGGGGCCCAAGCCCAAUGUCUUUAGUUUAGCAUUUCUUUUAUGUACUUUGUAUUGUGUUAGGCAUGUGGGACUUCUAGUCCUAUAAAUAGCCAUGCCUACACUUCUUGUACUUACUUUAGAGAUAAUUGAAUUGUUUCCUGUUGAGAAUCACUCCAGAGCAAUUCUACCUUGAAAGUCAAGGCUAGAGAAUCCCCAAGAAUCUCCUUUAGCCACCUUCCAUCUCACACUUACCAUUCUCUCAUUUUUCCACCAUCAGAUUUCUAUCUCCGCCACCUAAACACCUACGCCACUCCGCGUCAGACUCAUGGAUUCUCACUGCAACGACAGCGCAUCCCUCUCACUCAAUCUUCACAUUAAUCAACAUAUCAUUUGUGCGAUUCGUUUCAUUUAUCUCUCGAAGCCACAAUCUCACCGCUUAGGGUUUCCACAUUCGAGAGCGUUUCUCACACGAUUCACUUCACAAACCUCAUUUUCUAUCGCCAGAGAUCCAUCGUAAGUCUUCUCACCGAUCCAUUUCUCCGAUUCGUCUUCCCUCAUUAUAACUCACCCUUUUUCCGAUUGAAACUCUGUUCUCGCUCCGUUCACCGGUUAAAAUGGAGAUUUCUUCCUUUCCACCGAUUCAAUCGGUGAAUCUUCCUUGUUCACCGAUUAAUACCUCAUAAACCCCCAACCCUAGCCGUUUCACCGAUCAAUCCCCAAAACCUAGGGUUCUCUUCGAUUUCCAACUUCCGCUGCAUGUUUAGUCUGGUUCCUCAGUCGAUCCGAUCCAGUUUUCUUCAGCUCGUCGCCGAUCUGUCUCAGAACGGGUUGUAUCAUGUGGUAAUCAGAGCAUAGGUUCUCUUCCUCGGGCUUCAAGAGAUAAGUAUUUCUAAUCUCUGUUUGUGUCAUUAUUCUAUGUUGAUCCUAUCUUGAGUUGAUUCGCGUCGCUGUUGUGAAAUGUUCGUUUUGCUUUGAGUCUUGUUUCUUCCGAAUCUGUUUUGUCUGGUAUGUGUUGAUUCGCAUGGAUAUGUUGAUAUGUUCAUUUGGAUUCAAAUUUAUUUUGUUCAUGAUCUGCGUUGUUAAUCAAAUUUCCUUUAAUGUCUUGAUCUGUUUGUAUUGUCUUCUCUGUUGAGUUUUGUGUUUUUAUUGUUCAUGAAAGCUCUUCAUAUAUGUAUCAUUAGGAUUUCUAAUUUUGUUUGUUCUUGAGUUGUUGUGCUUUGAGUCAUUACAUUGAGUCUUUUCUUCAUUUUAACUCGGUCCAAAUUUGUUUGAUUGAGUCUUUUUAUUUGUUUAAUCUGAUCCUGUUCUGUCAAGUUUUGUUUAUUGCUUAUUUUGUCAGAAAAUCCAAAGUGUGCCUCUGAUUUGAUCUGAUUUAUGUGAUGAUCUGCUUGUAUGUUCAGUGUGCAUCCUGUAUGAGCUAUGACCUUCAAUACUGAGAGCUCGGAUGCAUGAAAUGAGUAGCAGAUUUGUUUUGAAUUUUUUGUUGUGAACUUCUGGUUUGAAUAAGCUAUUGAAUCUGCACUUUGAAAUUAUUCUGCAUUUUUAAAAGUUGAGCUGGAAUGCUGAGAUGACUGGUAACAAAGUGCCAACCAGAAAAGACGUGAUAUGCUCCGCAUUAGCUUGGUUGUUAGUGCAAAAGUCACAGCAGAAAUUACUUGCAAAUCAGUAGGCCGAACUGCAUAUUUCCUUGCUUGAGUCAUUUAUUUUGUCUUGUUCAUUUCAGUAGUAGAUCAUUGCUGCAAUUCUGUGUAUUCAAUCUUAGAGUCAUUGCAAACCAUUUUGUUUUACCUUCUAAACUGCAGAACUAAGUUGUUUAAAUGCUUGUGAAGUCACUAUUUUGAUCCAAGAUGAAAUAAAAGCAUAUUAGUUGAGAAAAUCAGUCAAAAGAGGCAAAUCCUGAAAAGAAAAAUGAGGAACUGAAUAUUUGAAUUUGAGUAAAAGCCUAUGAAAGAGUGUAAAAUGGCCUUGCGUGAUCAAAACAAGCAUAAAUAAACUUGCUCCAUUGGAUUUCAGUAUGCAAAUGUGUCCAGAACUGAAAAUGCUAACAUUAGCUAAUGGACCAGUUCAAUUUUUGCUUCUGAAAUUCUGAUUUCAACAACCAGUUCUGUGAUUUCUUGUUGUGUCUUUUCUUAUUUUUAAAAUCUGUUCUAGUGUUAUUCUUUAGGUUCUAUUUGCUGUGCUUAUUUUCUUGAUAGCUUUGAUUUUUGUUUGCUUGUCAAUUGUUUGGCUAUCUUGGUUUUGUCCAUCACGUGUAAAUUUGUUCAGCCGUUUUUAAUUGGAGCUUUUCUUUGCUUUAUGAAUGUGCUUUUGAGUUUAUUACCCUGUUGUUUGUCAUUGCCUAUCACUUUACCUUAGCCUGGCCAUUUUCAUCAUUGCUAAUCUGAUUCCAUUCUUAAUUUUUGGAAAUUGGAAGAAAGGUAUUUGUGAAUGGUAGCCUCUUAGGUGGAAGUGAUCCACAAAAUUCUCUUGCCUUGAUUGAAAUCUUUUUCAAAACCUAACCCUUGAGUGUGUAAGCUGUUGUAGAGAGAAUUCUGAGUUGUGAGUUUUGGGGCUGUCUUAAAAAGCCAAACUUCUUGUUGAGAGUGUGUGUAAUUUUGAGUGUUGUAAAAAGUUUGAAUCUGAACUGUGCUAACCAGUUUAAGUGUGCAGUUUUGUUUGGCUGACCUCUACAGGGAGAAUUCGAAAACUUCUGCAGCAGGUUAUAAUUGAGAGCCACUAGGAUCUGUUGGCUACAUCACUUGAACAACAAGCCGAGAGAAUAACAGGGAAGUUGUUUGCCUAAACUGUUUUGGUAUGACUUGCAAUUAGUGGAAUUGGAAUUGUCUGAUCUACUGAAUUGAGUGUGAAUAUUUGAUUGCAGUUUGUACUUUGAGAGCAAAGAGAAAUUCCUUUAGCUGCAUCAAGUAUACAAGUCUAAGACAGGGAAGUUCUUAUUACCAUAUAAAUCAUCUUGUGCAAUCUGUUUUAGGGAAUAAUCACCAAUUUAUAUUUGUGUAUUUGUGUUCCAGGAUUGGACUUCUUGAUCUGAUCAAGAGAGUGAAGCAACGAAGUUGAGCACGUGAACCCUUCAUGCGAAGAAUGGAACCAGGUCUGUAGCAGCAGCGUGAUUAUACCACGAGAAUUAAUUCCAGAAGCAAUAAAGCUGUCCAGAAUGAAGUGGAUCGGUUUGUGGCAGCAACAGAGGACCUUAGCAGUAUUGGGCAGUAGCAUAUCAUAGUUUUAUUUUGUUUUAUUAGUAUUUGAUUUUGAUGUGUAAUGGGCUUGUGUUAGCCCACUGUUAGUCUUAGUUUCUGUUUGUAAAAGGGCCAUUAUAUAAAGUCCAAGUUUGAAAGAGUCCUUGGACUCUUUCAAAUCUUGGCAACCUUUCUUGUUUGUUUUCUUUAAAUUUUAGCUUAGACAGGUGAGUGUGUCUUGUUAGCAUAAGCUACAAGCCUCACCAUAGGAGUAGAAUUUUAUCUUGUUUGCAUGUUAUUUUAGUGUUUCACGUGUAGGUGUGAAUUUUGUCACAUUAGAGUCCGUACGUUUUUAGGGGUCUUAAAGUCCGAUUGUCUUUGUUUGUGUGUCCUUUGAUUUUAAAAGUAAUUUUACUUUAAAGGGUAUUUAGUGAGUAGCAUAAGACAAAUAUGCCUGGGAUUUGUCAAGUGUGAAAUCUUUAAACUCUUUAGAUUAGAAGAACUUUUAAGAACAAAGAUGACAAGUCAUAGGUUUUCUAGGAGUAGUUAUGUCAAUUUUGACCAUCCAAACACUUUCAAAAAUAUGAUUGACAUACUUGAAAAAUCUAGAAAAAAUAGUAAUUUUCGGGAAAUGGAUAGGAUUGAGUGUGAUAUAUAUGAUCAAGCUAAUAGGGAAAUUCCUUUCUUUGGUAGAGACACAAGUGCUUUAACCUACUUAGCUUGGGAAAAGAAAAUUGAAGAAAUACAUCCACUCAUGGCUAAAAUCAGUGAUCCUUACGAGACAUAUCAUGUUUUUUCUCAAGCAAAUCAAAAUUGUGUUCCUAGGAUAUACAUUUCCAAGUUUGAAGGGUAUGCAAGAGAGUGGUGGGAAGAAAGAGAAUAUCAUGUUACCAUAGGUAGAAAAUCUCCCAUCAAUGAUUGGAAUGAAUUGAAAGGUUGUUUGAGAAAAAAAUUUGUGCCUCUAGAGAUUCAAAGAAAUUUACAACUUAUGAGAGAGUUUAUUAGAGGAGGCAAGUCAUUCAUUAAAAAUUUAAGUGGAUCCUAUCGUAGGGAAACAGAGUUUAGAGAAAAACUCAUGAAGUUCUUGAAUGAGGAAAGUAGAAGGAGAUUUGAGAGAGAACAUAGGCAAUUACAAGAAAGAAUAGAGAGACAAGAGAGAAGAAAAGAGAGAAAACGAGAAGAAGAAAGACAAAGACAAAGAGAGAGAAAGAGAGAACAAGAGAGAAAAGAAGAGGAAGAAAAAGUGAGAAGAGAACUAGUGAGAAGAGAAGAGGAAGAACGANNNNNNNNNNNNNNNNNNNNNNNNNNNNNNNNNNNNNNNNNNNNNNNNNNNNNNNNNNNNNNNNNNNNNNNNNNNNNNNNNNNNNNNNNNNNNNNNNNNNNNNNNNNNNNNNNNNNNNNNNNNNNNNNNNNNNNNNNNNNNNNNNNNNNNNNNNNNNNNNNNNNNNNNNNNNNNNNNNNNNNNNNNNNNNNNNNNNNNNNNNNNNNNNNNNNNNNNNNNNNNNNNNNNNNNNNNNNNNNNNNNNNNNNNNNNNNNAACAUCCCCUAUUCUCACAAUAGAACACCAAUUUUUAAGGGGAGGUUUUCUAUCCUUUGACUUUUCUCCAUUUGUUAUUGAAUGUUCUAAUUUUAUCUUUUCUUCCCAAGAAAUUGCCAUGACAUCUUUUCCAAAAUUGCAAUUUUUACAACAUGGUAAUCAAAAACUUGAGUUAGAGUUAACUUUUUGGUUAUUACUAACUCAAGCCAAAAAUAAAUUUUCAAAUGAAGUAGGGUUUCCUUAUACUCAUAAACAUGAAAAUUUCAAAGUUAGGAAACCUUCUUAUAGACAUAUUCCCUUAUAUUUCUUAUUGGGUCAAAUAAAACUAAUUAGAGAUAUGUUUGAUGCUUAUUGCAGAUUAAUAUUUGAUACAGGAGGAAUUUCUAUGGAGUUUGCAAAAAUAAGUCCUCAGGCGAACCACCAAAUUUGAGGACAAAUCCUUUCCAAGNGGGAGGGGAUGAUACGCGGGGCCUAAGCCCAAUGUCUUUAGUUUAGCAUUUCUUUUAUGUACUUUGUAUUGUUUUAGGCAUGUGGGACUUCUAGUCCUAUAAAUAGUCAUGCCUACACUUCUUGUACUUACUUUUGAGAUAAUUGAAUUGUUUCCUGUUGAGAAUCACUCCAGAGCAAUUCUACCUUGAAAGUCAAGGCUAGAGAAUCCCUAAGAAUCUCCUCUAGCCACCUUCCAUCUCACACUUACCAUUCUCUCAUUUUUCCACCAUCAGAUUUCUAUCUCCGCCACCUAAACACCUAUGCCACUCCGCGUCAGACUCAUGGAUUCUCACUGCCACGACAGCGCAUACCUCUCACUCAAUCUUCACAUUAAUCAACAUAUCAUUUUCAUGAUUCGUUUCAUUUCUCUCUCAAAGCCACAGUCUCACCACUUAGGGUUUCCACAUUCGAGAGCGUUUCUCACGCGAUUCACUUCACAGACCUCAUUUUCUAUCGCCAGAGCUCCACCGUAAGUCUUCUCACCGAUCCAUUUCUCUGAUUCGUCUUCCCUCAUUAUAACUCACCCUUUUUCUGAUUGAAACUCUGUUCUCGCUCCGUUCACCGGUUAAAAUGGAGAUUCCUUCCUUUCCACCGAUUCAAUCGGUGAAUCUUCUUUGUUCACCGAUUAAUACCUCAUAAACCCCCAACCCUAGCCUUUUCACCGAUCAAGCCCCAAAACUUAGGGUUCUCUUUGAUUUCCAACUUCCGCUACAUCUUUUGUCCGAUUCCUCAGUCGAUCCGAUCCAGUUUUCUUCAGCUCGUCGCCGAUCUGUCUCAGAACGGGUUGUAUCAGGAGACCAUAUAAAUAAUCAAUAGUUUCAAUAAGAGAGAGUAUCAAAAGAUUACAUUGAAUUCCCCAACAACAAUAAGGUUUAGUUCACCAUAGACAUAGUGAAUCUAGAUGAAAAAUGGAAGAAGAAUGAAAGAGCAAACCCUAGAAAAGAUGAAAAGGAGCCUAAGCAUCCAAGAGAUCCUCUCCAGAGAGCAAAAUUAGGUCUGGCCGUCUUCCCCUAUCAAAAGAAUAACUCUGAAUUCGUAGUACGGGUAUUUAUAGUUGAGGAGCGAGUCAAAAUCAGGCCUAAGUCCAGCGUGCUACCGUCGGGCGGCACACUCAAACCGCCCGGCGGCAAUCACCACCACCCAGCGGUUUCCCAUGAAACCGCCCAGCGGCAAUCGCCAGUGCCCGGCGGUUUCUCUCAGCGUGAAAUGUUGCCUACUCCUCAUCCUGGGUCGCCCGGCGAUUUAAGUGUGUCGCCGGGCGGUGCAUCAACUCUUCAAAUCUUCAUUUUUCUGCUCUUUUCUUGAGUCAACGACCUGUAUCUUCAACUCCAUUCUUCACUUUUCUCAAAUUAGCUUCAAAACAAUGCAAAACAAGCAUAAAAUUGCUAAAAACAGCUUUUGACUCUCUCCAGACUCAUUUAUUGAGUUCUGCUUGAUUCUAAGCUCGUUCUGAGUAGUAAAGGGUGUAAUUUGGUCCAAAUUGACAUAUGAAAAUCACUGUUUUUCAACCUUCAUCAACACCCCAAACUUAGAAUUUUGCUUGUCCUCAAGCAAAACGAAACAAAACAACAAACAAAACAAAACUUGGUUUUACACUGUUUCAUCCAAUGCCUCAACAAUCCCCAAGGUACAUGACAAAAUCACUCAAAUCAAUAUCCUUAGUGAAAUCCAAAAUAAGAUGCAUGCAUGCUUUCAAUCCAGAGAUUGCACAAUAGAUGUUAUANACUAUGAAUGAUCAAUCCACUAAGCAAAAAU